GUAGCGGUCAACUGGUGAAUAUAAAACAGGACCUGAGACACGCUUCAACCGCUCGUCGUUCCCGAACGCAUGGAACCAAUCAUUGGGUCUCCUGUCGCGCCACUGCAUUACCCCCUGGACCCUGUCGACUCAUACUUGAUACCAAUCAUUGGCUCUCCCAUAGCGCCACUGCAUUAUUGCCGUCCACGCCUCCUCUGACGAGGGGUCCAUCUCAAGCAGGCAUGUCCAGCUCUGGGCCUGAAGGGCCGCUGUUCGGCCUGUUUACCAGCUUUCCCCCCUGGCAAAUGACACGGGAGUGUGUCUGGUUUUAUUGGACUUAAAGACCAAGUGUGAAGUAAAGUUGGCCAACCAUGUUUUUGAGUAAUAUCAAUGGCUGUACAAUUAUAGGCAGAUUUCCGUUAGUUUUUUAACGCAACCCUUCCAGAUUCUUUGUUUAAUCCUGAGCAACGCCCUUGACAACGAAAAUGCUUUUAUUCGGCAAUCUUCGGAAAUGACGUCACAUGGAGAACUGCGAGGGAAGUCCUUCCAUUGAACAGCAUUGUUGCAUUGCUUGUUGGUAAGAUGCCACGGCGGUGUGUGGCGAUGCAUUGUUCGCAAUCGACAGAAAAGUUGUACCAGUGGCCGAAGGAUAGCAGGGCAUGUAAAUUACAUCUUUUAUUCGCACAAAGCGAAUGAAUUUCAGGCCAUCGACGAGUGUUCUCUGCCAUCUCCACUUCAAAGAUGACUGCUUUCUCAACCGAUCUGCUUAUGAUCAAGGAUUUGCAAAAAGUAAGUGCUUUUUGGAAAAAUUAUGAUGAUUUUGUCAAGGGAUAGCUGGCAACUCUUGUGGAAUGAAGAGUAGAAGGUAGCGACGUAGCGAAAGCUAACUCGAGAAGCUAGCAAAGUUGAACAGAAGCUAGCGACGUUUGUUUUCGGCUUGAGGCAAACAAGCUGAUGAUUUUGUCAAAGUAUAGCUGCCAACUCUUGUGGAAUGAACAGUAGAAGGCAGCGACGUUAGCCAAAAGCUAACUCGAGAAGCUAGCAACGUUGAACAGACUGGAGAAGCUGACGAUAGUGACAUUAGUUUUCGGCUCGAGGCAAACCCCGAUCGAUGCUAUUCAUAUCAGUGAUGAGUAAUAAUGGCAGUCAGACAAAUUGUUCUGGAAGUACAUUUAAAUAGGUUGGCAGCGCUUUGUUGACAAAUGAACAUGACACGUCCUCUUGGAAAACUGUGUGACUAGCCCAUAGGAAAUGAACUGCUUUGUAGAUUAUAUGCGGCAUAAUUACAUGCCAAUUAUUUUAGUCUCAUGACGCGUAUUAAAUUUAUCCUUUAGAGUCACGAGACUGGGGGAAGCCAUGGAAUGGAACUGGAGGGCCUGAAAAGAUGCCGUUAGGAGUUAGAAGGCUUCAAUGUAAAACUUGUUAUCACUGACGGGCAUCGCCAGGUGGGGAAAUGGAUCAGGGAGAAUUGGACCCAAGUCAUCCAUUAUUAUGAUUGUUGGCACAUUGCUAAAGGUAUGUGCAAGAAACUGGACUCCUUGGCCAAAAAGAAGAGCAUGUUGAUCCUGAAGGAUUGGGUACAAUGUUUGAAGUGCCAUUUGUACUGGUGUGCACUUUCCUCCCAGACACCGGAGGAAAAGAAGCAGAAGUGGCUGGCAUGUGUGGACCACCUGCAGAACAUGCACGAUAGUUGUUUACAUCCUUCAAUUACUAGAGAAAAAGCAUGGCUAUUACCAGUUUUUUUUUUUGGUUUAAAAAAACAUUUUUUUAGAUGUUUCCUGCUAGUUAACCCUAAAAAAUAGAAAUAUUGUCAUACCUUGUAAAUUCAUUUAAAGGUACUGAAGUCAAUGUCGCAGUGGUGGAACUCCUGACAAAGACCAUGUUUGUCAACGAUGUCAUGAAGAUGGCUCACCUCGGGCAGACGGUCUCGAAGCUUUUCACAGUGUGGUGAAUCACUUUGCCCCAAAGACGUACCACUUCUCGUCCAAAGGAAUGAAAAGCAGGUGUGUUAAAGAAAACUGAUAUGCAUGAAAUGUAGACUAUAGUGAAAUGUAGAACUUUGAGAUAUAACGUUAUUUGAUCACAAUUUGACAAUUUUUUAAAAUAUGAUCAUUUUGACAUUUAAAAUAUAAGCAUUUUUGUUCUAUUCCAAAAUAAUUCUUGCUGCUAUGCAUUUUCAUGAAAAUGCUGGCAGACCACAGAAAGUGACAAAGAAAGGAAUACACUCCUACUGUAUUGUUUAUCCCAAAUAUAAGAGUGGUGGGUAUUCUCUGAGAAAGAUACUGGUGGAUGCAACAUGGUAAAUUAUGAAAUAAAAAGUAAUUACAGGCAGAUGCAUGACAUACUGAGGAUAACCCAUAUGUCGUCCAAAUAUUUGUCAUCCCAAUGUUUUUUGUUGUUGUUGUUGUUGACUGUGAAUGACUGCCUGUCAGAGGUGAUGAAACUGACUGCCAUUCAAAAUAAGUACAGAACUGGUGAUGUGUGUGUCAACCCGCAACUUCUGACAGCAGCACUGAACAGACCAGACCGGACAAGUCAACCGUUACGGCCGAGCACCAGACUAGAUUCCUCAGGAAAUAAAAAAAAUAAAUUCCCUGGAUUCAGUUGUCCUCAUUUGUUUAUUUUUAUUACAGUAUUUUGUUAUGAUAGACAACAUGUCCACAUUAACAACUCUAAAACCAAUCCAAAUCACAGUUCUGGAACAUUUCUCUGUGAAACUCGAAAACCCUUUGAAUACAGCUGACUCCUCUUCUCCUGUUGAUGGAAAAUGUGCCCUGAUACAAGACACAGUGCGUGCUGGGAGCACAACACGGUUGUCCUGACCAAGAAACUUCCAGCACCAGCGAUUCCUGUGACCCAUCAAAUGCCCUGCCUUUGUACUGCUGCUUGUUGGUCAUCCAUCCCACCUGUCAUCCAUAUGGGUCUAGGCACACAGCAUUGAGUCCAGGAUGGUCGGUGAUGCAGUCCAGCACCUGAUUGAAGUGUUCCUCUCCUUGUCGACAUACAGUCACUACUUCUUGAAUUUCAUGGCAGCAAGCACAUUCAACUGCUGUAGGCAUUUGCUGGCAUUUACCACAAGUACACCUGAAA